CUAAGAAUAUUCCGCAAUGGGGGAAACCCUGACGGAGCGACGCCGCGUGGACGAGGAAGGCCGGAAGGUCGUAAAGUCCUUUUGAACCGGAAGAAUAAGCAGUGCAGGGAAUGGCAGUGUGGUGACGGUACGGUUUGAAUAAGAGGCGGCUAAUUACGUGCCAGCAGCCGCGGUAACACGUAAGCCUCGAGCGUUGUUCGGAAUUAUUGGGCGUAAAGGGCAUGUAGGCGGUAAUCUAAGCUUGGUGUGAAAGGCAGGGGCUUAACUCCUGGACAGCAUUGAGAACUGGAUUGCUAGAG
rnacentral:rRNA from 1 species